rnacentral:rRNA from 1 species
AUGAACGCUAGCGACAGGCUUAACACAUGCAAGUCGAGGGGCAGCACAGGUAGCAAUACCGGGUGGCGACCGGCGCACGGGUGAGUAACGCGUAUGCAACUUGCCUAUCAGAGGGGGAUAACCCGGCGAAAGUCGGACUAAUACCGCAUGAAGCAGGGGCCCCGCAUGGGGAUAUUUGCUAAAGAUUCAUCGCUGAUAGAUAGGCAUGCGUUCCAUUAGGCAGUUGGCGGGGUAACGGCCCACCAAACCGACGAUGGAUAGGGGUUCUGAGAGGAAGGUCCCCCACAUUGGUACUGAGACACGGACCAAACUCCUACGGGAGGCAGCAGUGAGGAAUAUUGGUCAAUGGCCGAGAGGCUGAACCAGCCAAGUCGCGUGAGGGAUGAAGGUUCUAUGGAUCGUAAACCUCUUUUAUAAGGGAAUAAAGUGCGGGACGUGUCCCGUUUUGUAUGUACCUUAUGAAUAAGGAUCGGCUAACUCCGUGCCAGCAGCCGCGGUAAUACGGAGGAUCCGAGCGUUAUCCGGAUUUAUUGGGUUUAAAGGGUGCGUAGGCGGCCUUUUAAGUCAGCGGUGAAAGUCUGUGGCUCAACCAUAGAAUUGCCGUUGAAACUGGGGGGCUUGAGUAUGUUUGAGGCAGGCGGAAUGCGUGGUGUAGCGGUGAAAUGCAUAGAUAUCACGCAGAACCCCGAUUGCGAAGGCAGCCUGCCAAGCCAUUACUGACGCUGAUGCACGAAAGCGUGGGGAUCAAACAGGAUUAGAUACCCUGGUAGUCCACGCAGUAAACGAUGAUCACUAGCUGUUUGCGAUACACUGUAAGCGGCACAGCGAAAGCGUUAAGUGAUCCACCUGGGGAGUACGCCGGCAACGGUGAAACUCAAAGGAAUUGACGGGGGCCCGCACAAGCAGUGGAGUAUGUGGUUUAAUUCGAAGCAACGCGAAGAACCUUACCAGGUCUUGACAUCGAUCUAAAGGCUCCAGAGAUGGAGAGAUAGCUAUAGAGAAGACAGGUGGUGCAUGGUUGUCGUCAGCUCGUGCCGUGAGGUGUCGGCUUAAGUGCCAUAACGAGCGCAACCCUUGCCACUAGUUACUAACAGGUAAAGCUGAGGACUCUGGUGGGACUGCCAGCGUAAGCUGCGAGGAAGGCGGGGAUGACGUCAAAUCAGCACGGCCCUUACAUCCGGGGCGACACACGUGUUACAAUGGCGUGGACAAAGGGAAGCCACCUGGCGACAGGGAGCGAAUCCCCAAACCACGUCUCAGUUCGGAUCGGAGUCUGCAACCCGACUCCGUGAAGCUGGAUUCGCUAGUAAUCGCGCAUCAGCCAUGGCGCGGUGAAUACGUUCCCGGGCCUUGUACACACCGCCCGUCACACCAUGAGAGUCGGUAACACCCGAAGCCGGUGGCCUAACCGCAAGGAAGGAGCUGUCUAAGGUGGGACUGAUGAUUGGGGUG